rnacentral:rRNA from 1 species
ACUCCUACGGGAGGCAGCAGUAGGGAAUCUUCCACAAUGGACGAAAGUCUGAUGGAGCAACGCCGCGUGAACGAUGAAGGCUUCGGUCGUAAAGUUCUGUUGUAAGGAAGAACAAGUGCGCAGGCAAUGGCGGCACCUUGACGGUACCUUGCGAGAAAGCCACGGCUAACUACGUGCCAGCAGCCGCGGUAAUACGUAGGUGGCAAGCGUUGUCCGGAAUUAUUGGGCGUAAAGCGCGCGCAGGCGGCCUCUUAAGUCUGAUGUGAAAGCCCCGGCUCAACCGGGGGAGGGCCAUUGGAAACUGGGAGGCUUGAGUAUAGGAGAGAAGAGUGGAAUUCCACGUGUAGCGGUGAAAUGCGUAGAGAUGUGGAGGAACACCAGUGGCG